GACCUCAAAUCAGGUAGGACUACCCGCUGAACUUAAGCAUAUCAAUAAGCGGAGGAAAAGAAACUAACAAGGAUUCCCCUAGUAACUGCGAGUGAAGCGGGAAAAGCUCAAAUUUAAAA
rnacentral:rRNA from 1 species